CCAUCCUACGGGGCGCAGCAGUAGGGAAUUUUCGUCAAUGGGCGCAAGCCUGAACGAGCGAUGCCGCGUGAGUGAAGAAGGCCUUCGGGUCGUAAAGCUCUGUUGCGGGGGAAAAAAGGCAGCAUCAGGAAAUGGGUGCUGACUGAUGGUGCCCCGCCAGAAAGCCCCGGCUAACUACGUGCCAGCAGCCGCGGUAAUACGUAGGGGGCGAGCGUUAUCCGGAUUUAUUGGGCGUAAAGAGUUCGUAGGCGGUUUGUUAAGUCUAAAAUUCAAGCCCGAGGCUUAACCUCGGUUCGUUUUAGAAA
rnacentral:rRNA from 1 species